rnacentral:rRNA from 1 species
CCUACGGGAGGCAGCAGUGGGGAAUUUUGCGCAAUGGACGAAAGUCUGACGCAGCGACGCCGCGUGGGUGAUGAAGGCCCUCGGGUUGUAAAGCCCUGUGGGGAGGGAAGAAUAAGGGUACGUAAAUAGCGUAUCUGAUGACGGUACCUCCUUAGCAAGCACCGGCUAACUCUGUGCCAGCAGCCGCGGUAAGACAGAGGGUGCAAACGUUGUUCGGAAUUACUGGGCGUAAAGCGCGUGUAGGCGGCUAAGCAAGUCGGGUGUGAAAGCCCUUGGCUCAACUGAGGAAGAGCACUCGAAACUGCGUAGCUUGAGUUCUGGAGAGGAUGGUGGAAUUCUCGGUGUAGAGGUGAAAUUCGUAGAUAUCGAGAGGAACACCAGUGGCGAAGGCGGCCAUCUGGACAGAAACUGACGCUGAGACGCGAAAGCGUGGGUAGCAAACAGGAUUAGAUACCCUGGUAGUCCACGCCGUAAACGAUGGGUGCUAGGUGUCGGGGGCUAUGACCCCCUCGGUGCCGAAGCAAACGCAUUAAGCACCCCGCCCUGGGGAGUACGGCCGCCAAGGCUAAAACUCAAAGGAAUUGACGG